GAAAUGCGAUAAGUAAUCUGAAUUGCAGAAUUCAGUGAAUCAUCGAAUCUUUGAACGCACCUUGCGCUCCUUGGUAUUCCUUGGAGCAUGCCUGUUUGAGUAUCAUGAAAUCUUCAAAGUAAAUCUUUUGUUAACUCAAUUGGUUUCUACUUUGGUAUUGGAGGUCUUUGCAGCUUCACACCUGCUCCUCUUUGUUCAUUAGCUGGAUCUCAGUGUUAUGCUUGGUUCCACUCGGCGUGAUAAGUUAUCUAUCGCUGAGGACACUGUAAAAGGUGGCCAAGGUAAAUGCAGAUGAACCGCUUCUAAUAGUCCAUUGACUUGGACAAUACUUUUAUGAUCUGAUCUCAAAUCAGGUAGGACUACCCGCUGAACUUAAGC
rnacentral:misc_RNA from 1 species